rnacentral:rRNA from 1 species
UUAGGCUCGCCCUCAUCCUAAUGCACGUCGAGCGAAUGGAUUAAGAGCUUGCUCUUAUGAAGUUAGCGGGGAGGGGGGGGAUAGUGGGUAACCUGCCAUAAGAUGGGAUACCCACGGGAACCCGGCGCUAAUACGGAUAAUAUUUUGAACUGCAUGGUGCGAAAUUGAAAGGCGGCUUCGGCUGUCACUUAUGGAUGGACCCGCGUCGCAUUAGCUAGUUGGUGAGGUAACGGCUCCCAAGGGAACGAUGCGUAGCCGAAUUGAGAGGGUGAUCGGCCACACUGGGACUGAGACACGGCCCGAAUCCUACGGGAGGCAGCGUAGGGAAUCUUCCGCAAUGGACGAAAGUCCGACGGAGCACCCCCCGUGAGUGAUGAAGGCUUUCGGGUCGUAAAACUCUGUUGUUAGGUAAGAACAAGUGCUAGUUGAAUAAGCUGGCACCUUGACGGUACCCUAACCAGAAAGCCACGGCUAACUACGUGCCAGCGCCCCGGUAAUACUAGGUGGCAAGCGUUAUCCCGGAAUUAUUGGGCGUAAAGCGCGCGCACGUGGUUUCUUAAGUCUGAUGUGAAAGCCCCCGGCUCAACCCUGGAGGGUCAUUGGAAACUGGGACACUUGAGUGCAGAAGAGGAAAGUGGAAUUCCCCUGUGUAGCGGUGAAAUGCGCACAGAUCUGGAGGCACCCCCGUGGCCAAGGCGACCUUUCUGGUCUGUAACUGACACUGAGGCCGAAAAGCCUGGGGACCAAACCGGACUACAUACCCUGGUAGUCCCCCCCAAAACCAUGAGUGCUCAAGUGUUAGAGGGCUUUCCGCUCCUUAUUGCUGAAGUUCACCCCAUUAACCAUUCCGCCCGGGGAGUACCGCCCCAGGCUGAAAAUUCAACGGAUUGACUGGGGGCUCCGCACAAUCUGUCGAGCCUGUC